UACACAUGCANGNCGAACGGUAGAGUAGCAAUACUCGAGAGUGGCGAACGGGUGAGUAAUAUAUCGGAACGUGCCCAGUCGUGGGGGAUAACGUAGAGAAAUUUACGCUAAUACCGCAUACGAUCUAAGGAUGAAAGCGGGGGCUUCGCAAGAACCUCGCGCGAUUGGAGCGGCUGAUAUCAGAUUAGCUUGUUGGUGAGGUAAAAGCUCACCAAGGCGACGAUCUGUAGCUGGUUUGAGAGAACGACCAGCCACACUGGGACUGAGACACGGCCCAGACUCCUACGGGAGGCAGCAGUGGGGAAUUUUGGACAAUGGGCGAAAGCCUGAUCCAGCAAUGCCNNGNGCAGGAAGAAGGCCUUCGGGUUGUAAACUGCUUUUGUACGGAACGAAACGGUCUUUUUUAAUAAAGAAGGCUAAUGACGGUACCGUAAGAAU
rnacentral:rRNA from 1 species